UUCCGGUUGAUCCUGCCGGAGGUUACUGCUAUCGGUGUUCGACUAAGCCAUGCAAGUCAUAUGUUCCUCGUGAACAUGGCAUACUGCUCAGUAACACGUGGAUAACCUGCCCUUGGGUCUGGGAUAACCCCGGGAAACUGGGGAUAAUACCGGAUGACGCAUAUGUGCUGGAAUGCUUUAUGCGUAAAACGGAUUCGUCCGCCCAAGGAUGGGUCUGCGGCCUAUCAGGUAGUAGUGGGUGUAAUGUACCUACUAGCCAACAACGGGUACGGGUUGUGAGAGCAAGAGCCCGGAGAUGGAUUCUGAGACAUGAAUCCAGGCCCUACGGGGCGCAGCAGGCGCGAAAACUUUACAAUGCGGGAAACCGUGAUAAGGGAACACCGAGUGCCAGCAUCAUAUGCUGGCUGUCCAGAUGUGUAAACUACAUCUGUUAGCAAGGGCCAGGCAAGACCGGUGCCAGCCGCCGCGGUAACACCGGCGGCCCGAGUGGUGACCGUUAUUAUUGGGUCUAAAGGGUCCGUAGCCGGUUUGGUCAGUCCUCCGGGAAAUCUGAUAGCUUAACUGUUAGGCUUUCGGGGGAUAC
rnacentral:rRNA from 1 species